rnacentral:rRNA from 1 species
GAUGAACGCUAGCUACAGGCUUAACACAUGCAAGUCGAGGGGAAACGAUAUUGGAAGCUUGCUUCCGAUAGGCGUCGACCGGCGCACGGGGUGAGUAACGCGUAUCCAACCUGCCCAUCACUUGGGGAUAACCUUGCGAAAGUAAGACUAAUACCCAAUGACGUCUCUAGAAGACAUCUGAAAGAGAUUAAAGAUUUAUCGGUGAUGGAUGGGGAUGCGUCUGAUUAGCUUGUUGGCGGGGUAACGGCCCACCAAGGCGACGAUCAGUAGGGGUUCUGAGAGGAAGGUCCCCCACAUUGGAACUGAGACACGGUCCAAACUCCUACGGGAGGCAGCAGUGAGGAAUAUUGGUCAAAUGGACGAGAGUCUGAACCAGCCAAGUAGCGUGCAGGAAGACGG